rnacentral:lncRNA from 1 species
GGUUCCGGUCAUUCAAGUAAAAGGAUUUUCUCACAACCAAAAGUAUGUACUACUGUAAAGGUGUACUCUGUAAGAAUUAUAUGAUUUAUUAGUACUACAUCAGUUCCUAUAACACUAGGACCCAUGUACUAGUUAACAAAUAUUUAGACAAAAAAUGUACAUACUAAUUUUUCUUCAACUUAACUAACUAAAUAUAUUCUCUUUUUGAAAUUUUGCAGCACCACUUGAUGUAGAAAAUUGGUUCGCUACUGUUUCCGGAGAGAUCGUUUGCGAAGAAGAAUUUUUAUAAGUUGUUUCUGCAAUCCAGAAGAUUACUUGUUAUAAGUAGUACAACUACUAUCAGUAUCAAUUUUCAAUCAGGAGGUUUCUGUGUUUUAUGGAGAUUUUCCCAUUGUUAAGAAAGUUCAUUACAUAUUUGGUUCAAGCAUGUUUUGUAUCAAAAUAAUUUUUAGAUAAUUGUAUUAAUGAAACAGCAGAGAAAAU